AGUGCCAUUGAACGCACUCGCGCAAUGACAGCAGGAGAAUUCGAAGAUGCGUUCGAAUGUGUAGGUGAGAAGUGAGUUCAGGAGUAUAGGCGGGAAAAAUAAAUCGAGAUAGAUUGUAAACAAAACAAAGAUUGUGGAAUUUCAAUGCAAGUAGUAUCGUUUGGUGAUCAGAAGAAAAUUAAAGCUAAGUUCGCAGUGGUUAUUGUUGAGUUUGAAUACUUACCCUAAAUUUACGUGCUAAGGCAUUUGCAACUUUAGUACGAAGGCGCGAAGUGAAACUGCGCAGGGAAGUUGAGCACAGGCUACAAUACCACGCAACGAAGCGUUUUCAAUUAGGAAUCGCCAGAUUGAACCGAAAUCGAAUUGAGGUGUAGGGACUAGCAGCGGAAAAUAGCUGGAAUCGAGACGGAAGUAAGCGAUAGGAAGUUCACUAAACGUAAGCUUGAAAAUUGUUCUUAGUGUAUUCCAAAAUUAAUUUGUAUUCAAAUCGUAGGAAUUUAAAACGUGUCCCGGUAGAGCUUCGAACGGACAAAUAAAAGGGAACGUUACGAAUCCGAAAACAAACUUUCGUUGUUACCACGAUCCGGAAGUAACAAUUUACAUUUUAAAUUCGUUUACGAAAAUGUCCGAUUCAGCCAGCACCGCAGCCACUGCUGCCCAAAAAGGUAAGAGCUUAGCGAGUAGUUCCCCUAAGGCGAAAAGUGAUACCCCCCCUCAACUCAAGUCCGUUGCUCUUGGCCCUAACACUGAGAACGGCAAAUCGAAACCAGGCACGACAAAAACCAAAAAGAAAACCUCUUCCGAAAAACAAUACCCUAUAGCCAAUAACAAUACUAGCCAUACUUCCUCCGCGAACACGGUCGUUAAUGUCGGUCACAGUUGUGGAACCUGUAAGUCGGUCGAUAACAGCCAGAUGGUUCAGUGCGAUGAUUGUGAUGGAUGGAACCAUUUUAGUUGUGUGGGAGUGAACCAAAGUGUGGAGAAUAGAAAGUGGAAUUGUGCACAGUGCCAGGCGAAGCAAAAGAAGAAGAAGACGGGUGCUACGAAGGUUGCCAGGAACACCGCUGCAGCGAAGA